rnacentral:rRNA from 1 species
GUACGUAGUAAGACACAGGGAUUGCCCUAGUAACGGCGAGUGAAGCGGCAACAGCUCAAAUUUGAAAUCUGGCCUUCGGGUCCGAGUUGUAAUUUGUAGAGGAUGCUUUUGGCGCGGUGCCUUCCGAGUUCCCUGGAAUGGGACGCCUUAGAGGGUGAGAGCCCCGUAUGGUUGGACACCAAGCCUCUGUAAAGCUCCUUCGACGAGUCGAGUAGUUUGGGAAUGCUGCUCUAAAUGGGAGGUAAAUUUCUUCUAAAGCUAAAUAUUGGCCAGAGACCGAUAGCGCACAAGUAGAGUGAUCGAAAGAUGAAAAGCACUUUGAAAAGAGGGUUAAAUAGCACGUGAAAUUGUUGAAAGGGAAGCGUUUGCGACCAGACCUUUUCGUAGCGGAUCAUCCGGUGUUCUCACCGGUGCACUUCGCUUCGUUUAGGCCAGCAUCGGUUUCUGUAGGGGGAUAAAAGCCUGGGGAACGUAGCUCCCCCGGGAGUGUUAUAGCCCCUCGCAUAAUACCCUUACGGGGACCGAGGACCGCGCUUUAUGCAAGGAUGCUGGCGUAAUGGUCGUCAACGACCCGUCUUGAAACACGGACCAAGGAGUCGAACAUUUAUGCGAGUGUUUGGGUGUUAAACCCUCACGCGUAAUGAAAGUGAACGGAGGUGAGAGCCCUUACGGGUGCAUCAUCGACCGAUCCUGAUGUCUUCGGAUGGAUUUGAGUAAGAGCAUAACUGUUCGGACCCGAAAGAUGGUGAACUAUGCGUGGAUAGGGUGAAGCCAGAGGAAACUCUGGUGGAGGCUCGCAGCGGUUCUGACGUGCAAAUCGAUCGUCAAAUCUGCGCAUGGGGGCGAAAGACUUAUCGAACCAUCUAGUAGCUGGUUACCGCCGAAGUUUCCCUCAGGAUAGCAGUGUUGUUCUUCAGUUUUAUGAGGUAAAGCGAAUGAUUAGGGACUCGGGGGCGCUUUUUAGCCUUCAUCCAUUCUCAAACUUUAAAUAUGUAAGAAGCCCUUGUUACUUAAUUGAACGUGGGCAUUCGAAUGUACCAACACUAGUGGGCCAUUUUUGGUAAGCAGAACUGGCGAUGCGGGAUGAACCGAACGCGGGGUUAAGGUGCCGGAGUGGACGCUCAUCAGACACCACAAAAGGUGUUAGCACAUUUAGACAAUAGGACGGUGGCCAUGGAAGUCGGAAUCCGCUAAGGACUGUGUAACAACUCACCUAUCGAAUGUGCUAGCCCUGAAAAUGGAUGGCGCUCAAGCGUCCCACCCAUACCUCGCCCUCAGGGUAGAAACGAUGCCCUGAGGAGUAGGCGGCCGUGGGGGUCAGUGACGAAG